rnacentral:rRNA from 1 species
UUUAAAUGUAAAUUUUAUCUAAAAGAUUAAUAGUUAAGUUCUUUAAAAUUAAAAAAUUUGGCGGUAUAUUAGUCUUUUCAGAGGAACCUGUUUUAUAAUUGAUAAUCCACGAUUAAUUAAACUUAUAUUUUUAGUUUUUAUAUCGUUGUAGUUUGAAUAUUUUAUUAGAAUUUAAAUAUUCAAAAUUUUUUAUAUAGAAAAAGAAAAUCAGAUCAAGAUGAAGCAUAUAUAUAAGGAAAAAUGGGUUACAAUAUAAUUAUAUAUAAUGAAUGAAAAAUUGAAAUAUUUUUUUAAAGGUGGAUUUGAAAGUAAUUUUAAAUAUUUAUUUAAAAUGAUUUAAGCUCUAAUAUGUGU